AGCGGAGGAAAAGAAACCAACCGGGAUUGCCUUAGUAACGGCGAGUGAAGCGGCAAAAGCUCAAAUUUGAAAUCUGGUACCUUCGGUGCCCGAGUUGUAAUUUGGAGAGGGCAACUUUGGGGCCGUUCCUUGUCUAUGUUCCUUGGAACAGGACGUCAUAGAGGGUGAGAAUCCCGUGUGGCGAGGAGUGCGGUUCUUUGUAAAGUGCCUUCGAAGAGUCGAGUUGUUUGGGAAUGCAGCUCUAAGUGGGUGGUAAAUUCCAUCUAAAGCUAAAUAUUGGCGAGAGACCGAUAGCGAACAAGUACAGUGAUGGAAAGAUGAAAAGAACUUUGAAAAGAGAGUGAAAAAGUACGUGAAAUUGUUGAAAGGGAAGGGCAUUUGAUCAGACAUGGUGUUUUGUGCCCUCUGCUCCUUGUGGGUAGGGGAAUCUCGCAUUUCACUGGGCCAGCAUCAGUUUUGGUGGCAGGAUAAAUCCAUAGGAAUGUAGCUUGCCUCGGUAAGUAUUAUAGCCUGUGGGAAUACUGCCAGCUGGGACUGAGGACUGCGACGUAAGUCAAGGAUGCUGGCAUAAUGGUUAUAUGCCGCCCGUC
rnacentral:rRNA from 1 species